UACGAAGGGGGCUAGCGUUGCUCGGAAUCACUGGGCGUAAAGGGCGCGUAGGCGGCGUUUUAAGUCGGGGGUGAAAGCCUGUGGCUCAACCACAGAAUGGCCUUCGAUACUGGGGCGCUUGAGUAUGGUAGAGGUUGGUGGAACUGCGAGUGUAGAGGUGAAAUUCGUAGAUAUUCGCAAGAACACCAGUGGCGAAGGCGGCUCACUGGCCCGGUACUGACGCUGAGGUGCGAAAGCGUGGGGAGCAAACAGG
rnacentral:rRNA from 1 species